AUGCCAGCACUUAGCAACUUUCACUUGCUGGCAUCGUCUCGUGCCAAGAACAGUGAGGAUGCUCCGAGAGACCCAGCGGCUACUUUCUUCUGGUGUCAGAUGAGAGGGGAAGGGCUGCUCAGAUGGGAAGACGCCCUUUUUUGUUCAUCCUUACGACGUCUAAGGGCACACUUUGUCUUCUCAACGAGGCUGGGAGCUGGCGGUCUCAGGAGGAACAGUUGCGGAGAAGGGCUGAGGGCUGAGCAGGACGGUCCCAGCACGGCAUCCUGUCUCAGGUCCCACCGCUGGAGCCGCACGCGUUGCUGGCCUGGUUCAAGAAGCCAUUCCAAAGACACCAUUCCACAGAAAGGAAAAUCAGUAAUUUCUUUCCCCCGUGUCGCUCCAUGGGUGGCAAGGACACAUACACCCACCCGCGACUAUGAGGGAGUGUACCCGGAGCGAAAGGCAUGGCUCUAA
rnacentral:lncRNA from 1 species